CGGGGCGUAGCGCAGUCCGGUCCAGCGCGCCUGCUUUGGGAGCAGGAGGUCGGGAGUUCGAAUCUCCCCGCCCCGA
rnacentral:tRNA from 1 species